rnacentral:rRNA from 1 species
UACGUAGGGGGCAAGCGUUGUCCGGAUUUAUUGGGCGUAAAGAGCGUGUAGGCGGCUUUGCAGGUCGGUUGUGAAAACUCGAGGCUCAACCUCGAGACGCCGGUGGAAACCGUAAGGCUAGAGUCCGGAAGAGGAGAGUGGAAUUCCUGGUGUAGCGGUGAAAUGCGCAGAUAUCAGGAGGAACACCCGUGGCGAAAGCGGCUCUCUGGGACGGUACUGACGCUGAGACGCGAAAGCGUGGGGAGCAAACAGG